rnacentral:rRNA from 1 species
CCUACGGGGGGCUGCAGUAGGGAAUAUUGCUCAAUGGGGGAAACCCUGAAGCAGCAACGCCGCGUGAAGGAUGAAGGUUUUCGGAUUGUAAACUCCUUUUGUUAGAGAAGAUAAUGACGGUAUCUAACGAAUAAGCACCGGCUAACCCCGUGCCAGCAGCCGCGGUAAGACGGAGGGUGCAAGCGUUACUCGGAGUAACUGGGCGUAAAGGGGGCGUAGGGGGGAUAGCAAGUCAGAUGUGAAAUCCUAUGGCGUAACCAUAGACAUGCAGUUGAAACUGUUAUUCUAGAGUAUGGGAGAGGUAGGUGGAAUUCUUGGUGUAGCGGUAAAAUGCGUAGAGAUCAAGAGGAAUACUCAUUGCGAAGGCGACCUGCUAGAACAUAACUGACGCUGAUGCGCGAAAGCGUGGGGAGCAAACAGGAUUAGAUACCCGAGUAGUC